CUUAUCCAGAAAGACGGAGGGACUGGCCCGUUGAUGUCUUGGCAACCCUGGAGCUGCGUUAUUUUUUGCUACAACGCUUUAGAAGGUGCCAAUUCCAGCUCUGCCUGAGCAGAGACAGAUAAG
rnacentral:ncRNA from 1 species